rnacentral:lncRNA from 1 species
GAAGCGAAACAGCCCGAGCGUGGCAGAGGCGGGGAGAAUGAGAAAGAUCUGGUUGUGGUCGGUAAGUGGAGUAGGAAGAACCCAGCCAGAUGCCUCCUCUUCUCUCUUCUUUAAUCUUUUUUUCUUUCUUUCUUUUUUUAAACAUGUGUGUGAGAGUGUAUGCUGUGUGAAUGCAAGCGCCCACAAAAGCCAGAAAAGAGCGUUGGAUCCCCAGGAACUGGAGUUAACUGGAAUUAACUGGGGUUUGUGAGCCCCUGGUGGUUUCUGGGAACUCUGGUUUCUAGGAAGUGUUAUUGGGUUCCACGGAAGAGCAGCGAGCAUUCUCGCCCCUGAGACAUCUCUUCAACCCUAUUCCUUCCUUUUGUUGAUUCAGUUUUUGUUGAUUUGAGUUUAUGAGCUUCAGUGUUCGGCUCAUGUUAGAAAAAAAAAUCACUUUUUAAAUAUAUUUUCUUUCCAAUGCUAACCCCUAACCCUGAGUGACCAAGUAAAAGAUGUGACUAGCAAGGAUGUGGAGGUUUGUUGAGAUUUGUUUUAUUUAGAGAAACUGAUGCAUUCAACCCCAGAUUGGUUUAUGU